rnacentral:rRNA from 1 species
AGCGGCGGACGGGUGAGUAACGCGUGGGUAACCUGCCUCAUACAGGGGGAUAACAGUUGGAAACGGCUGCUAAUACCGCAUAAGCGCACAGUACCGCAUGGUACGGUGUGAAAAACUCCGGUGGUAUGAGAUGGACCCGCGUCUGAUUAGGUAGUUGGUGGGGUGACGGCCUACCAAGCCGACGAUCAGUAGCCGACCUGAGAGGGUGACCGGCCACAUUGGGACUGAGACACGGCCCAA